GACGAACGCUGGCGGCGUGCUUAACACAUGCAAGUCGAACGGAAAGGCCCUGCUUGCAGGGUACUCGAGUGGCGAACGGGUGAGUAACACGUGGGUGAUCUGCCCUGCACUUCGGGAUAAGCCUGGGAAACUGGGUCUAAUACCGGAUAUGACCUUCCAUGUAGUGUGGGGGGUGGAAAGAUUUAUCGGUGUGGGAUGAGCCCGCGGCCUAUCAGCUUGUUGGUGGGGUAAUGGCCUACCAAGGCGUCGACGGGUAGCCGGCCUGAGAGGGUGGACGGCCACAUUGGGACUGAGAUACGGCCCAGACUCCUACGGGAGGCAGCAGUGGGGAAUAUUGCACAAUGGGCGGAAGCCUUAUGCAGCGACGCCGCGUGGGGGAUGGCGGCCUUCGGGUUGUAAACCUCUUUCGACAGGGACGAAGCUUCGGUGACGGUACCUGUAUAAGAAGCACCGGCUAACUACGUG
rnacentral:rRNA from 1 species